rnacentral:rRNA from 1 species
CCCUUAGAUGUUCUGGGCUGCACGCGCGCUACACUGAUGCGCUCAACGAGUUUAUGACCUUGCCUGGAAAGGUUGGGUAAUCUUAUUAAAACGCAUCGUGAUGGGGAUAGAUUAUUGCAAUUAUUAAUCUUCAACGAGGAAUUCCUAGUAAGCGCGAGUCAUCAGCUCGUGCUGAUUACGUCCCUGCCCUUUGUACACACCGCCCGUCGCACCUACCGAUUGAAUGGUCCGGUGAAGCCUCCGGAUUGGCGCGCACCUCGGUGCCGCCGAGAAGUUGGCUAAACCUUACCAUUUAGAGGAAGGUGAAGUCGUAACA